rnacentral:rRNA from 1 species
UGGGGAAUCUUGCACAAUGGGGGAAACCCUGAUGCAGCGACGCCGCGUGAACGAUGAAGCCCUUCGGGGUGUAAAGUUCUUUCGACGGGGACGAUAAUGACGGUACCCGGAGAAGAAGCUGCGGCUAACUACGUGCCAGCAGCCGCGGUAAUACGUAGGCAGCAAGCGUUGUUUGGAAUUACUGGGCGUAAAGAGUGCGUAGGUGGUUGGCCAAGUUUGGUGUGAAAUCUCCCGGCUUAACUGGGAGGGUGCGCCGAAAACUGGUUGACUAGAGUGUGGGGGAGGGACGUGGAAUUCCUGGUGUAGCGGUGAAAUGCGUAGAUAUCAGGAGGAACACCUGCGGUGUAGACAGCUUUCUGGACCAAAACUGACGCUGAGGCACGAAAGCGUGGGUAGCAAACA